rnacentral:rRNA from 1 species
GAUGAACGCUGGCGGCGUGCCUAAUACAUGCAAGUCGAGCGAAUGGAUUAAGAGCUUGCUCUUAUGAAGUUAGCGGCGGACGGGUGAGUAACACGUGGGUAACCUGCCCAUAAGACUGGGAUAACUCCGGGAAACCGGGGCUAAUACCGGAUAACAUUUUGAACCGCAUGGUUCGAAAUUGAAAGGCGGCUGCGGCUGUCACUUAUGGAUGGACCCGCGUCGCAUUAGCUAGUUGGUGAGGUAACGGCUCACCAAGGCAACGAUGCGUAGCCGACCUGAGAGGGUGAUCGGCCACACUGGGACUGAGACACGGCCCAGACUCCUACGGGAGGCAGCAGUAGGGAAUCUUCCGCAAUGGACGAAAGUCUGAUGGAGCAACGCCGCGUGAGUGAUGAAGGCUUUCGGGUCGUGAAACUCUGUUGUUAGGGAAGAACAAGUGCUAGUUGAAUAAGCUGACACCUUGACGGUACCUAACCAGAAAGCCACGGCUAACUACGUGCCAGCAGCCGCGGUAA